GAUCAUGGAGGAGAAGAUAGAAAACAUCGCAAGACACAUCUCCAGCCUUUCAGACAAAAUCACAGCUAUAGAGCAGGCCAUAGAAAGUCAAGACAUCUCAUUCUUAAAGAUCUAUAAGGAUACCAAGAGAAGAGCCCAAUGCACACUGCAGGAUCCAGAGCUGCUCUCAGGGGCACUGAUAGUUGUGGCCAAACACCUGGGCAACCUGAAGUUUAGAGUCUGGGAGAAAAUGCUGGGGGUGGUGCAGUACAGUGAGUACAGUAUCUGGGACACAGAUCACAGAACUUGCACAAUUACUG